ensembl:lncRNA
CUGGACACGAGUGACACAGCUGAGAAGGCCAAAGCCUGAGGAAGGUGGCUUGGGGGGAAGCGGCGAGUGAAAAGCGGAGGCUGGAAGCCAGCUGCAGCAACAGUCUCAGGCUCAUGUGCAUCUCGGCUUCUUAAAUGAAGGGCUUCAGAGAGCUUCCAGGUGAUGUGCCCACAGAGGACAUGGCAGCUCUGUGCCCCUUCCCCAUACUUUGCUCCUUGGAUCUCUUCUGUUUGCCAGUUCCCAGCUUGGAACCUUUAUAAUAAACCAAUAAUAGGAGAUUCUCAACCGCUGGGAAGUCCCAAGAAGGUCUUUCUUGAUGCUGCAGCUGGGAUCCAACAUCCUGACCUUCUCUGUGACUGAU